rnacentral:lncRNA from 1 species
CCUGUGGCGUCCCUUCAUCAGGUCCCUUGUCCAUUGCUCUCCUGGCUUGGCCACCUCAGGUCAAUGGCCAGCUGUCAGGGAGAAGAGGCUACUCGGUGGUGAAGGGACUGAGUAACUCCUCACACUCUCCUCGGCAUGGUCUGAGUGUCUCCACUGGAGGCACAUGUUGAAACUUAGUCCCUGUGUGGUGAUGAAGUCCUGAGAGUCCAGUCAGCGUGAGUAGCGUCUUAUAAAAGGUUUGGUGAGGGCAAGAUCAGCCCCCUUGCCCUUCCACCUUCUGCCAUGUGAGGACACCUAGCUUGCACCAUCUCUGAGGAAUGGGCCCUCACCAGACACCAAAACUGCUGGUUCCUGGAUCUUGGACUUUCCAACUUCUAGAACUGUGAGGAAUACAUUUCUGUUCUUUAUAAACCACCCAAUCUCAGGCAUUUUGUUAUAUCACAUGAAAAGACUAAGACUCCUUGAACCAUGUUCGUGCACCAACUGUUUCCAUUUUAUUAGAAGAUUCUUCUAGUCACUGUCCUUCUGUUGGAACAUUUAUCUCUCCAACAUCAACCAAAUCAUGGUAAUAAUUUGGGUUUCAAUAUUAUUUUAUGUCUGUCGGUUACAGGAGACAUUUCGAUUAAUUUCUAAUCAUAAGCCAGUAAUUGUCCUUCAAAUGGAAUCUUUCUGUUCCAAAGUCCCAGUAUUUGCUUCUGGGAGGUACUUACAGGCUCUUGUCAUAAGCCUCGUCUACACUCCACACAGGGCUAGUGUACCUCAGAGAAACCAUCUCAACCAGUACCUCAAUUCUUGUUCUUUAGUGCAUAGGGCCAGGCAAUUUAUUGGUUCCCACUUACCAUGUCCAAUCCCUGAAGGGCAGAUCUUAUAGGCCUUCUGUUUUAUGAUGCUGGGUCAGAGCCAUGUUCCCCAGUCAGAUACACUGUCCUCUUCACAAUGCAUCCAGGUAAAGAGACACAAAGGUUCAGGAAAAGCCUGUUUAAACAUCGCCAUUGCCAUCCAAGCUUACCUCAUGUCAAUCCACCUUGCAUCUCCAUAUUCUCUCAAUUUAACUGCAGCUCCUAUUAGGACUUAAGUAAUGUGUUCUUCCUUCCACCAUGCAUGGGGCUCAUGUGUCAAGGAGUUCUAGAACCUUCUAUUCUGGUCAUGUUACCCAUUCGUGUUUAUAAUGCUUUGAGUUCCAGCAGGGUAUCAAGCCAGGGGGCCCUGCACCUUGCAGACUUUAUCUUGAUUAAUCAGGCCAUUGCCCCAGAUUGGAUUUCUUAUUGUAACCUUUGUUUUAUUGCUUUCAAAAUUCCUCCAAACUGGGGUAAGUAGAGUAGACUCAUUUAAGGUCCUUUCAUGGGAUACCUGCCAGAGGGUAUCUAACCUCCCAAAGGACUACAUUAAGACCUUUGUUUCU